AGCUUCUGAGGGACUGGUCUUGGAGAAGAAUGGAUUUCCUCCUCCACAUCACGUCUGGGAAGGGGCUAGGGGCCCUUGUCCCCACCCUGUGUCCAAGACCUCCCAAUCUUUUCCCUCUUAUGGACACCUCACCCUGCCCCCAACAUCCCCUGGGCGCAGCCAGUGAAAGGGAGGCCCUGACUGCAGGGCUGGCCUGCACGUCCCAGGAUGGGGAGGGACUUCCGCUCUCACGUCCUGCUCUGCCCAGGGCUGGAUGGGGUGAAAGGGACAUUGUCUCCCAGCCCGGGCCGCUCAGCCCUCAAAUUUCCCAGGAGCAACUUUGUGGGAGACCUCUGAGCCUCUACCUGGCCAGCCCCCCAAAGCGAUCCUGUCCCCUCGCUGAGGCCCCAGCCAGCCAGGGCCUGGGGGAGAGCAGCUGGUGCACACAGGUCCUGGUUUGUCUGCUCGAUUCUCAGAUGUCCAGGCUGCCUGUCCUGCAGGGCAUCGUGACCUUCAGUGCAGAAACUUCCCUCUCAGGCCUCCUUCCGAGCCUCCUUCCUCUCCAGGCCUCCCACUGGCCAGGGCCAGCCGCGGUCCCCAGCCCGGGGAGGCCAGGAGCCAAGAGAAGGGGAGGGGGGAAAGGGGAAGGGGGCUGGAGAGGGCCUUGCUGGAGGCCCCUCCCGGGCCUUUUCCUCUGUAGUUCCUGGGUCACUACCGAAGAGCCUCGAGAAGUUCCUCAAUCUUCCCGCUUCUCAGCUUUUGAAGGGGGGGGGGUAGGGGAGACUGCAGCCGCGAGCUGCGAGCCGCGCCCCCAACCCCGGGUUCCGCUCCAAUUUCCCAUCCCACUGGCUCCCCAUAUCCUCCCGUUACAUCCCUGCAGCAACUUUAACGUCCCUGGCUCCUUGGGUGUCCUCAGUUUUCGCCAGGGCCCCCUCCUCCUAGUCCACUGCCCCCUGCAGUACAACCCCAACCGGGCCAGGCAGCAUCACCGGUCCCCUCCCCCUCUCCGUCCUCAGCCCACUUGUGUGGCGCGUGCACAUUGGCAGAACCAGGCGGGUCCAAAGGAAAAAAAAAGAAGAAGUGGGGGUCGGCUACUCGCGACUUUACGGGCGCACGUAGCUCAGGCCUCCGCUGCUGGAGCUAGGACUGGGCGAGGCGAGCCCACGUCACCCCGCCCCCGCCCCGCCCCCUGCCCUAUAAAUUCCGGCUGCAGCCUUCCCCUGCGCUCUCUGCUCCUCCCCGUUCGACAGACAGCCGUGUGUUCCGUGCAUUGCCAGCCGCGUCCCUGAGACACGAUGGUGAAGGUCGGAGUGAACGGGUGAGUUAGGGGGUGGGGCAGGGUGGGGCAGUAAGUACUGCAGCCCCCACCAAAUUGCGUCCGCAGGUCUCGCCCUACCGGGUCUGUGCAAGCAUGUGGGGGACUUGGAUGGGGUGGUCGUACCCCACCCCCAAGGAGAACUCAAGGUCAGCGCUCGGACCUGGAGGAGGCCCUCGCAAGGCCUCGUGUCCCCCAUCCCUGGCUGUUGCGCGUUCUGUAACUCCGCCUCUGCGGAGCCUUCCUCUUCACCUGCCGCAGAUACACAGCCCUGGAGUCUCCAAUUCUUGCUUUGGCCCCAUCCCCUAAUCCCCCAGCUGGGGCUCUUUCUUUCCUUUCGCGCCCUGCGGGGUCACGUGAAGGGGAGGAGCCCAUCCCCCCAGCCGCAACCAGUGCCCCCAGCCGGGCAGCCCCGGGAUGCAGGAGGCACAGCUGCUGUGCAGAACCAGCUGGGAGGGGGCAUCUGCGGUAACCUAGCCGCCAUGUUGCAACUAGGAAGGAAAUGAAUGAACCGCCGUUAGGAAAUCUUCCUGAGUCCUUCAAUCUUUCUCCUUACUUGCCCAUGACUAAGCCUUCUACCCCUGCCUCGUGGGGUGGAGUCUCCUUUAUCCGGUAACCCAGGUCCGGCCACGCUUUCCCCUUCUUAGUCAGCUGGACCUCAGCUCUUAGCAAACUAACCCUAGAGCAUCCCUUCAAGCCCCAGCCAGAUUCCCCCCCCCGGGGAUGAGGGGAUGCUUUUUCUGGAUGGUUCUCUGAUGAAUCAAAAACGGGGCUUUAUGGGGGUGGUCUUGGGUUGUUUCCGGGUUGUUUCCCUUCUCUUUCUCCGGAGAGGUGUGGUAGCGUUGGCUUGGUGCCAUGCCGGGGGAGCUGAGUCAUGGGUACUUAGAAAUUUUCCACAAAAUGGCUCCCGGAGCCGGCGGAGCCGCAGCCCCUGUCUCUGCAUCAGUGCUCCUUGAAGCUGCUUCCUUCCAUCCAUGCCUAGGGUUGACCCCACCCUAAAGGCCAAGCUGUAAAGGUCACCAGGAGGAUUAGAUGUCCGUGAGCCUCGGGAAUCCUGCCCUUCUCCCCAUCCCCUCUUCCAGAAACCAGAUCCCCACUCCACCCUAAGCUGGGGUUAAAUAUAGCUGCCUGACCUUUCUGCAGCUGGGGGCCUGGGCUUCUCCCUCUCCUUCCCCCCCGCUCCCCACACGUCUAUUGCUCCCACUCCUGAUUUUGGGAAAAGAGCUAACAAAGACAGGUUCCUAACAAAUCAGAAGCCCGGGAUUCUGGGUUUGAGAAACGGCUUUCCCUUUUGUAGGAGGGACUUGGGGAAGGGGGGGGGUUUCCCUGGCCAGUUAACUUCUGACCUUUGCUCUUGCCCUUUGAGCUGGGUGAUGCCAAGUGUGCAAGAUUUUGCUCCCUAGAGGGUGUGGCCUGAAGCUGGCCAGAUAGGAACAAGCAUUUACCGACAGUGGGCCUGAGGAAUGCCAUGUGCCGGCCAUGUGCCCAGACUGUAGGUGGCAGCAGCAGUGCACCACCCUGUCACCCCUUAACAGAUUUCAGAUGACCAGGGGGUGUGGGCCUGUCUCGGAGCUUCAUCACCUCUUGGGCAGGAUGGGAGCUUUUCACUUUGUGGCUGUGCUGGGAAGCCAGGCUGGUCUGGCAGGGUUGUGCGAGGAGGAGGAAAUGAGAUCUCCUGGUAGGAAAGUGCCCGCGCUGACAGCGGGCGCGUGGGCCUGGGACUGCUUACAUCUCCAGGAGAGCUCACUCCUCCCUCCUCGCCUCUUGUCCCCCUCAGAUUUGGCCGCAUCGGGCGCCUGGUCACCAGGGCUGCUUUUAACUCUGGCAAAGUGGACAUUGUCGCCAUCAAUGACCCCUUCAUUGACCUCCACUACAUGGUCUACAUGUUCCAGUAUGAUUCCACCCACGGCAAGUUCCACGGCACAGUCAAGGCGGAGAACGGGAAGCUUGUCAUCAAUGGAAAGGCCAUCACCAUCUUCCAGGAGCGAGAUCCCGCCAACAUCAAAUGGGGUGAUGCUGGUGCUACGUAUGUUGUGGAGUCCACUGGUGUCUUCACGACCAUGGAGAAGGCCGGGGUGAGCGGCAGGGAACCGAAAGAGGAGGGGACCUAACCGCGGGGUUGGUGUAGCGGGGAGACUGGGGGAGGCUGACUUGGACCAGGAAAGGGGAAGCCCGGGUGUCUGACUGCUCCUCUGCUGCAGGCUCACUUGAAGGGUGGGGCCAAGAGGGUCAUCAUCUCUGCCCCUUCUGCCGAUGCCCCCAUGUUUGUGAUGGGCGUGAACCAUGAGAAGUAUGACAACUCCCUCAAGAUCGUCAGGUGAGCUUGGUGGAGGGGGCGGGGGGGGUCAUGCUGCGCGGGACCCCGUGGACCUGCCCGUUGACUUGCCUCCCUCGUUUCAGCAAUGCCUCCUGCACCACCAACUGCUUGGCACCCCUGGCCAAGGUCAUCCAUGACCACUUCGGCAUCGUGGAGGGACUCAUGACCACGGUCCAUGCCAUCACUGCCACCCAGAAGACUGUGGAUGGCCCGUCUGGGAAGCUGUGGCGUGAUGGCCGAGGGGCUGCCCAGAACAUCAUCCCUGCUUCUACCGGCGCUGCCAAGGCUGUGGGCAAGGUCAUCCCUGAGCUCAACGGGUGAGGCUCUUUGCUGCUCUCCUGCCCUGGGUGUCUGGGGCACCAGCAGGGGUGGUGCUGACUCUGCUUGCUUCCUCGUGUCCCCAGGAAGCUCACUGGCAUGGCCUUCCGUGUCCCCACCCCCAACGUGUCGGUUGUGGAUCUGACCUGCCGCCUGGAGAAACCUGUAGGUUUGGGUUGGAACAGCUUUGGGGGGCUGAGGGGUUGUAGGAUUGGUACUUGAAUAACCAUCGGUUUUUACCUCAUCAGGCAAAAUAUGAUGACAUCAAGAAGGUGGUGAAGCAGGCGUCCGAGGGCCCCCUCAAGGGCAUCCUGGGCUACACUGAGGACCAGGUACUGAUAGGUCAGGGAACUUGGUGUCCACACGACCCCACUGACCAAGACUGGGUUCCGUAAUUGGCCCUCUUCCUUCCCCAGGUUGUGUCCUGUGACUUCAACAGUGACACUCACUCUUCCACUUUUGAUGCUGGGGCUGGCAUUGCCCUCAACGACCACUUCGUCAAGCUCAUUUCCUGGUACGACAAUGAAUUUGGCUACAGCAACAGGGUGGUGGACCUCAUGGUCCACAUGGCCUCCAAGGAGUAAGAGCCCCUGGACCACCAACCCCAGCAAGAGCACGCGAGGAGGAGAGAGGCCCUCAGCUGCUGGGGAGUCACAGCCCCAACUCGAUCCCCCAACACACCGAGCAUCUCCUGACUUCCAGUUUCCAUCCCAGACCCCCGGAAGAAGGGGAGGGGCUUAGGGAGACCUGCCUCGUCAUGUACCAUCAAUAAAGUACACUGUACCCAG